rnacentral:rRNA from 1 species
GCGGGAUUCUGGUUGAUCCUGCCAGUAGUCAUAUGCUUGUCUCAAAGAUUAAGCCAUGCAUGUCUAAGUUCACACCCUUGUACGGUGAAACCGCGAAUGGCUCAUUAAAUCAGUCGAGGUUCCUUAGAUGAUCCAAAUUUACUUGGAUAACUGUGGUAAUUCUAGAGCUAAUACAUGCUGACCAGCUCCGACCCCUCCGGGAAAGAGCGCUUUUAUUAGUUCAAAACCAGUCGGGUUCUGCCCGUCCUUUGGUGACUCUGGAUAACUUUGUGCCGAUCGCAUGGCCUCGAGCCGGCGACGCAUCUUUCAAAUGUCUGCCCUAUCAAAUGACGAUG